rnacentral:rRNA from 1 species
GAUGAACGCUGGCGGCGUGCCUAAUACAUGCAAGUCGAGCGAACAGACGAGGAGCUUGCUCCUCUGACGUUAGCGGCGGACGGGUGAGUAACACGUGGAUAACCUACCUAUAAGACUGGGAUAACUUCGGGAAACCGGAGCUAAUACCGGAUAAUAUAUUGAACCGCAUGGUUCAAUAGUGAAAGACGGUUUUGCUGUCACUUAUAGAUGGAUCCGCGCCGCAUUAGCUAGUUGGUAAGGUAACGGCUUACCAAGGCAACGAUGCGUAGCCGACGUGAGAGGGUGAUCGGCCACACUGGAACUGAGACACGGUCCAGACUCCUACGAGAGGCAGCAGUAGGGAAUGUUCCGCAAUGGGCGAAAGCCUGACGGAGCAACGCCGCGUGAGUGAUGAAGGUCUUCGGAUCGUAAAACUCUGUUAUUAGGGAAGAACAAAUGUGUAAGUAACUAUGCACGUCUUGACGGUACCUAAUCAGAAAGCCACGGCUAACUACGUG